GCUGCAGUAGCUCAGUUGGUAGAGCGCAUCCUUGGUAAGGAUGAGGUCACCAGUUCAAAUCUGGUCUGUAGCU
rnacentral:tRNA from 1 species